AUGUACCUUUCCUCCUCUACCUUCCAGACCGUCAGCAACCCAGUCACCACCCAGGCCGGAACCGGCAACAGGCUGGCUCUCAACGUCACCACGUCCGGAAAUUCCGUCAACAUAACCACGGGGAUGACCAACACAAGCGUGUCGGGCACUGUUUACACUGACGGGCAGCUGGCUGUGUACCAGGUUGACCAGGUACUGCUCCCGGUUGACCUGUUUACUCCGAAGCCGCCGGCACCGGCCCCUGCGCCGGAGAAGGCGAAGAAGAAGAAGAAGGCGGAGGAAGAUGCAGCGGACGGUCCUGGGGGAGUGGCCAAGGAUAAGUCCGGUGGAGGGAGAUUUGUGGUUAUGAAUUGGUGGCCAGUGUUUGGGGUUGGGCUCUCUGUUUUAGCGAUGCCGUUGUGACAAAAGGAGGAUUUUCCAAU
rnacentral:lncRNA from 1 species